UUAAGUUCAGCGGGUAGUCCCGCCUGAUUUGAGGUCAAGUUGGUAAUGAAUUGUCUCUUGCGAGACGGUUGGAAGCAACUCCCGUUAUUUUCGCUAAGCCGAGGUGUAGAUGACUAUCACACCAAGGCCGCAAGGGCUUUGCUAAUGUAUUCAAGGAGAGCGGAUCGGCCAGGGACCCGCAAGCUCCCAAAUCCCCAGCC
rnacentral:misc_RNA from 1 species